UGAUAGUGAUUUGUAUUCUGUGCACUAAGUUACAAAGCUUGACAGCUAAAGCUUAAUAUAUUUUUUUUCAGUUUCAGAGACUGAGAAGUACUAAUUCUGACAGUCAUUGAAAAAAUUCUCAAAACAAUAGUAUUAAGAACUGAUGAUCAUAUUCAGCUGUGGAGAUCUUUCUGAAGAUCUGAUGUCUGCACCAGAGGCUCACCUUUCUGCAGCCAGUUUGGAUAUUUCAGAUAUGUCAACACACUGGCUGACUUGCUCCUUGGAAGGAUUUGUUCUAUAUUCAGUUGUUUACCAACAUUAUCUGCAAAAAAAAUCUCUACAAAUACAAUUCAUAAGAGAGAAGAGUUCAUAAUAUCAUUGAUGAGAUCUUUCUUUUCUGGGAUUGAAAGGCGGCAACUUUUCAAAAAGGUUAAGUGCCCAACAAUACAAGAGGAAACCUUUAAAUGCCUGGCUUUUUUUCCCCCAUCCAUGAAAAUACAGAAGCAGAGGUGUGAGUGGGUGCCACAUGGUGCCCAUCUGCCUUUUGCAGGUAGGUGCUCCUCACACCAUCAAAUUUUUAAGAACAGCACCCAGCUCACAGCACAUCUGGUCAAGAGGGCUGCUCACAGCUGUGACUUACAGGCAACCUUGAAUUCACCGUGACAGACUGAAAAAGUGUCACUGUUGUUAAAUGAUUUGGGAGGACAGUGAGGAGGAGAGACCAAGAUAGAUGUGUUGAGCAUUAAAAAAAAAAAGUAAAAAACAAAAGCUUGGGGGUUCCUUAUGGAACCUGGGUAGAUGAAAAACAUGAUGCAAAUGUAUGUGUGGGGAGUGCAUGCUUUAGGAUAUGCAAAUGGAGGGGAAUAUCAAGCUAAUGUAUAAAUUAAGGUUGUUAUAGGGAAUGAAUUUAUACUCUUAAUGUUCAAAAUAACUUACUGUUUAAUGACAUAAAAACAGGUGAUAAUCAUAUUUUAAUUAUUGAUUAUAACAAUGAUAAGGGGAAAUCAGAAAUUAUAUUUGAAAGAAAAAAAGAAAUUUAAUUGAGGAUGAUUAUUUUCUGUUCUUUUAAAAAGACAAAGAAACAUAUAUUUACAAGGAACAGGAACCUUUUGUGGGGAAGUCUACACUUCACUUCACCUAUAAUUUUUAUUGUCCCUACACCCACAUACAAAAUUCUAACAACAUGGGUCAGGGUAUAUUCCAUAGGUUACCUUCAACCUAUACACACAAAGACUAUGUACAACUGCAGUACAUUCUCUAACAUGCACAAAAAGAAAAUUAGAUUCCCUGACAAAUUUAUUCUCAUACAGACCCCAAAUGGUAUUUAGUAAACAGAGUCUAGCCUGACAUUUAUUCUGUGUGGUUAAAAAGCAGCUAAUGAUCAGGGAAAAUAGAUGAUGCCUUGUCUAUUUCAUAUAGCGUGCCCCAUAAACUUUUCAAGAGCAAUCCUCCCAUGGACUAGGUGACCUAGACUCAGAAUAUGCUGUCUAGUUUCCAUGUCAUCAUUCUCUCUCCCUUCCCUUCCCUUCCCUUCCCUUCCCUUCCCUUCCCUUCCUUCCCUUCCCUUCCC